rnacentral:misc_RNA from 1 species
UUCACCUUUUCCUUAUUUCUUUCAUCUAGACCCGUAAAAGGGUGGAGAUGCAUGGAAGCAGGGAGUAGGUAAUCUAAAUUGAAGGAUGUGAAUUACACAAGAUAGGGAUGCCACUAUGAUUACCCUUUUCCUGUCAUGCAAUAUCCUUUCCUCUAGUUAAAGAGUCAAUCCUGCUUAACCCCCUCCCCUUGCACUGCUAAGACUAGCAACUGUAAGA